UGCCAGUGAUAAACUGGAGGAAGGUGGGGAUGACGUCAAGUCAUCAUGGCCCUUACGACCAGGGCUACACACGUGCUACAAUGGCAUAUACAAAGAGAAGCGACCUCGCGAGAGCAAGCGGACCUCAUAAAGUAUGUCGUAGUCCGGAUUGGAGUCUGCAACUCGACUCCAUGAAGUCGGAAUCGCUAGUAAUCGUAGAUCAGAAUGCUACGGUGAAUACGUUCCCGGGCCUUGUACACACCGCCCGUCACACCAUGGGAGUGGGUUGCAAAAGAAGUAGGUAGCUUAACCUUCGGGAG
rnacentral:rRNA from 1 species